rnacentral:tRNA from 1 species
GGGGGUGUCGUAUAAUGGUAGUACAAUGGUCUCCAAAACCAUUUGCGUGGGUUCGAUUCCUACCACCCCUGCCA